UGCAAUCAGCAUGCUGAUUAAGGUUGCUGAGGGGUUUUUGCCUCCCCCCUUAAACAUUAACUGAAUGAAAACGGGUUGUAGUCUUUGUUGUUCUGCUUGGGGGGCUUUCGGGAAGCAAAUGGACUUUCAGAACAGAGAUUGUCAAUAAAAGGGGUUAGCAGGAAACCCCCCUGCUGUGGACAAUUAGGAUCUUAGCCAUUUUUGUGAGAAGUGAAGAAAACCCAGUUUAUUCUUACCAUACUGAACAGGAAAAGGGUGGGACAUAGCUAAGUGGCAGACCAUCUGCUUUGCAUGCACCUGGGAUCACCAUUAAAAGGAUCACAUCAGAUCAUGUGAUAGACCUCUGCCUGAGACCCUGAAGAGCCUCUGCCAGGCAUAAUAAAUAAUACUGAUUGUCUGACCUGACUCAGCAUAAGGCAGCUUCAAAGAACUCAAAAUUCCCUUUUCAGAUACAGGUACCCCUAUCCAGUUCUAAUCAUGACCCACUGCACCAGAAUGCGGACUCAAAGCUAUACUGGAAAGAACAUCCAACAAGAUUAAAGUAGUAUAGAUGACUGUAUUCUGGGAUAUAGUAAGUGAGAAGCAUAUUUUAAUCAGGUUCUGUAACUAGAUCAAUUUCUCUGGAUAGGGACAAGCAUUUAUUGCUCAAUUCCAUUCUCUCUCUUCUUCUGGGACUUGAUACUAUAAGCAAACAUGACAUUUUGUGUUUGUAUGCCAAAAAUCUUCCUGAUUUUGAAUUUUGCCUAACCCAUUUGAGGAAUAUACACUUUCUCACCACCAUCAACCCACUGAUUAAACUGAAA